GUAGGAGCGGAGAAACAACAGGGCAGCCAGUCCCAUCUCCCUUUUGUCUCUCAGACUUGGAGGAAAGACAUUGUUCAACAACUUAAACAGGUUCUGUGGAUGCCUGGUUCAACUAUACCUGAACUGAUAUACCUGCAGAAUGUCUGACAGAUUCUUCUGUGAAGCAGGAGCCCUGAAGGACCAUCCCACAUUGUUUUGAUGAAGUUCAGUGGUCACUUUCCUAUGGGUCCUGCAUGUCCAGUUUAUACAACAUACUCUCAAUCUGUACAGGUAAGAGCAGUUUUCUGCCCAAAUCGCCAGCUUUGUCACAUUGAAAGCAAAUUCCAUAAGGAGUUUCUUCAAUGCCCAUCAUCUCUGAAGUAAAUUGGUAUUGCCAGGAGCAGAUGUGUCUCAAUGUCAAGAAAAGCCCUAAGUUAACAAAACAUUUUAAGUGCCAUAUUCUGUAGGUCUUUGAAAGGUUUGAAGACCAUCUAUCUAUCUAAAACUUAUCUCUAUAUGAUCUGGAAACAUAUCUAGCAUAUCUACAAAUUUGUUUGUUAUAAAUGACUAACUACUAACCUAUGUUUCUUGAUUAUCCUAUAUAGUUUAUAAUAAUAGC